rnacentral:rRNA from 1 species
GGAAUCUUGGACAAUGGGGGAAACCCUGAUCCAGCGACGCCGCGUGACUGAUGAAGCCUUUCGGGGUGUAAAGGUCUUUCAGUGGGGACAAUCAUGAUGGUACCCACAGAAGCAGCUGCGGCUAACUACGUGCCAGCAGCCGCGGUAAUACGUAGGCAGCAAGCGUUGUUCGGAAUUACUGGGCGUACAGCGAGUGUAGGCGGUUUGCCGUGUCUGCUGUGAAAUCUCCCGGCUCAACCUGGGAGGGUGCGUCGGAAACUGGCAGGCUGGAGUGCGGGAGAGGAGAGUGGAAUUCCUGGUGUAGCGGUGAAAUGCGUAGAUAUCAGGAGGAACACCGGUGGUGAAGACGGCUCUCUGGACCUCCACUGACGCUGAGACUCGAAAGCGUGGGGAGC